UACGUAGGAGGCAAGCGUUGUCCGGAAUUACUGGGCGUAAAGCGCGUGUAGGUGGUGGGACAAGUCUGCUGUGAAAGUGCCUGGCUUAACCGGGCGAGGUCGGCGGAAACUGUCCGACUCGAGGACGGUAGAGGGGGGUGGAAUUCCCGGUGUAGUGGUGAAAUGCGUAGAGAUCGGGAGGAACACCUGUGGCGAAGGCGGCCCCCUGGGCCAAGACUGACGCUCAUGCACGAAAGCGUGGGGAGCAAACAGG
rnacentral:rRNA from 1 species